GACGAACGCUGGCGGCGUGCUUAACACAUGCAAGUCGUACGGUAAGGCCCUUUCGGGGGUCCACGAGUGGCGGACGGGUGCGUAACACGUGAGUAACCUGCCCACAACUUUGGGAUAACGCUAGGAAACUGGUGCUAAUACUGGAUAUGUGCUCCUGCUGCAUGGUGGGGGUUGGAAAGCUCCGGCGGUGGUGGAUGGACUCGCGGGCUAUCAGCUUGUUGGUGGGGUAGUGGGCUACCAAGGCGGCGACGGGUAGCCGGCCUGAGAGGGUGACCGGCCACAUUGGGACUGAGAGACGGCCCAGACUCCUACGGGAGGCAGCAGGGGGGAAGAUUGCACAAUGGGCGCAAGCCUGAUGCAGCAACGCCGCGUGCGGGAUGACGGCCUUCGGGUUGUAAACCGCUUUCAGCAGGGACGAAGCUUUUUGUGACGGUACCUGCAGAAGAAGCACCGGCUAACUACGUG
rnacentral:rRNA from 1 species